rnacentral:rRNA from 1 species
GAUGAACGCUAGCGGCAGGCCUAAUACAUGCAAGUCGAGGGGUAACAGACGUAGCAAUACGUGCUGACGACCGGCGCACGGGUGCGUAACGCGUAUGCAACUUACCUCUGACUGGGGAAUAGCCCCGAGAAAUCGGGAUUAAUGCCCCAUAACAUUCAUCAUUAGCAUGUUUGAUGAAUUAAAGCUCCGGCGGUCAGAGAUGGGCAUGCGUGACAUUAGCUAGUUGGUGAGGUAACGGCUCACCAAGGCGACGAUGUCUAGGGGUUCUGAGAGGAUAUUCCCCCACACUGGUACUGAGACACGGACCAGACUCCUACGGGAGGCAGCAGUAAGGAAUAUUGGGCAAUGGGCGCAAGCCUGACCCAGCCAUGCCGCGUGCAGGAUGAAGGCCCUAUGGGUUGUAAACUGCUUUCGUACGGGAAGAAUUGUCCUUACGUGUAAGGACUUGACGGUACCGUGCGAAUAAGCACCGGCUAACUCCGUGCCAGCAGCCGCCGUAAAAC